GAUGAAGAACGUAGCGAAAUGCGAUAAGUAGUGUGAAUUGCAGAAUUCAGUGAAUCAUCGAAUCUUUGAACGCACAUUGCGCCCCUUGGUAUCCCGAGGGGCAUGCCUGUUCGAGCGUCAUUUCACCACUCAAGCCUGGCUUGGUGUUGGGCGACGUCCCCUUUGGGGACGCGCCUCGAAACGCUCGGCGGCGUGGCACCGGCUUUAAGCGUAGCAGAUUCUUUCGCUUUGGAAGUCGGGGCCCCGUCUGCCGGAAGACCUACUCGCAAGGUUGACCUCGGAUCAGGCAGGGAUACCCGCUGAACUUAAGCAUAUCAAUAAGCGGAGGA
rnacentral:misc_RNA from 1 species